UAAGGUUCUUAGGAUCCGCGAUGGGGGUCCUAAGCCACGGGGAGAUGAGGGGCUGGCUCUCAGUCCCCGCCUCGUGGGGGGUGCCUCCCCCCUCUGCGAUGCGGGUUCUAAGAGCCACAGGGGGAAGAGGAGCUGGGUCUCAGUACCUGCCUCGUGUGGGGGUGCCUCCCCCCCACUGCGGUGGGUGUCCUGAGAGCCAGGGGGGCAGAGGGACUGGCUCUCAGUCCCCGCCUCGCAGGGGGUGCUUACCCCCUGCGAUGGAGGUCCUAAGAGCCUGGAGCGGAAGAGGGGCUGGCUCUCAGUCCCUGCUUCGUGGGUGGUGCCUCCCCACCCAGCGAUGGGGUCCCUGAGAGCCAGGGGGGAAGAGGGGCUGGCUCUCAGUCCGUGCCUCAUUAGGGGUGCCUUCCCCCCUUGCGAUGGGUGUCCUAAGAGCCAAGGGGGUAUGAGGGGCUGGCUUUCAGUCCCCAGCUUGUGGGGGGUGCCUCCCCCCCUGCGUUGGGGAUCCUAAGAGCCAGGGGGCGGAAGAGGGGCUGCCUCUGAGUCCCUACCUCGUGGGGGGUGCUUCCCCCUCCUGCGAUGGUGGUCCUAAGAGCUAUAGGGGGAAGAGGGGCUGGCUCUCAGUCCCUGCCUCGUGGGGGUUUCCUCCCCCCUCUGCGAUGGGGGUCCUGAGAGCAAUGGGGGAUGAGGUGCUGGCUCUCAUUCCCCGCCUCGCGGUGGGUGCCUCCCCCCCUGCGAUGGGGGCCCUGAGAGCGAGGGGGGAAGAGGGGCUGGCUCUCAGUCCAUGCCUCGUUGGGGGUGCCUCCCCCCACCUGCGAUUGGUGUCCCAAGAGCGGAGGGGGAAGACAGGCUGGCUCUCAGUCCCCGCCUCGUGGGGGGUGCCUCCCACCCAACGAUGGGGGUCCUAAGAGCCUGGGGCAGAAGAGGGGCUGCCUCUGAGUCCCUGCCUCGUGGGGGGUGCCUCCCCCUCCUGCGAUGGUGGUCCUAAGAGCCAGAGGGGGAAGAGGGGCUGGCUCUCAGUCUCUGCCUCAUGGGGGGGUGCCUCCCCCCCGUGAUGGGAGUCCUGAGAGCCGGGGGUGAUGAGGGGCUGGCUCUCAAUCCCCGCCUCGCCUUGGGUGCCUCCCCCACUGCGAUGGGGGCUCUGAGAGCCAGGGGGGAAGAGGGGCUGGCUCUCAGUCCCUGCCUCAUUGGGGUGCCUCCCCCCCCUGCAAUGAGUGUUCUUAAGAGCCACGGGGGGAAGAGGGGCUGGCUGUCAGUCCCCGUAUGUGGGGGGUGCCUCCCCCCUGCGAUAGGGGUCCUAAGAGCCUGGGGCGGAAGAUCGGCUGGCUCUCAGUCCCCGCCUCGCGGGUGGAGCCACCCCCUCUGCGAUCGGGUUCCCAAGAUCCAGGGGGGGAUAAAGGGCUGGCUCUCAGCAACCAUAAAAUUGGGGGCCUUUAUGUUCAGGUUUUGCCCAAGGGUCAGCUUAUUUGCUUCUUGUACUAGCAGGGCAGUUGCUGCCAAGGCCCUCAAACAGGGGGGCCAUCCUUUAGAAACCCUCUCUAGUUUUUCAGAGAUGUAGGCCACCGGCCUCUGCCAGGGCCCCACAGUUUGGGUUAAAAGUCCAGCUGCCAUCUUUUCUCUCUCUAACACAUACAAUGGAAAAGGCUUUGUCAGAUCGGGUUGCCCCAGGGCUGGGGCUGCCAGAAGUUUUUCCUUCAACUCAUGAAAGACUUGCUGUUCUUGGGAUCCCCAUUCCAAAGGUUCCCGGUUCCCGCCCCCUUUGUGACCUCAUACAAAGUCUUGGCUAAUACUACAUAGUUUGGGAUCCACAGUCUACAAAACCCCACAGCUCCUGAGAAUUCUCUCGCCUGCCUUCGGCCCUUAGGCUCCGGUAUCUUACAAAUAACCUUCUUUCUUUCCGUUCCUUGGUGGCGUCGGACCCAUGUGGGAGAGUAAAUCCCAAUUAAAGUACCUGCUGUCGGCAGAUUUGAGCUUUCUUCUUGGACUCCUAAUACCCACAGUUCUCCAGGAAUGGAACAGAUAAGAAGAUACUGAGAUUGGACGGUGCUGCCGUGUGGCCGCCGCAGGACACUUUUAAUAUCCCUGUUCCUCAGGCUGUAGAUGAAGGGGUUCAGCAUGGAGGUGAUCACCGUGUACAUCACUGAGGCCACUGCAGCCUUUCUCGGGGAAGAUGACACAUCUGAACUGAGGUACCCUCCAACGCCUGUUCCGUAAAAUCAGCAAACAACUGACAGGAUAACUUCAGGAAGUGGGUAUUAAUUCUCACUGUAUAAGUGAAGACAUUAAGCACCAGAGUUUAAGUAGCUUGAUCCACUGAAAGAGAUUCAACUGUGUGGAACCUAUGCCGCGGAGAAUUGCUUUCUGCCAUUGUUAUUGUCCAGCAGUUGCCGAAUAGCUCUGACCUGAGCAAAGCAGUGAAACGCGGUGCUGCUGAGUGGGUUGCCACUGCACCCUUUUCAACUACUAGUCUUGUGGAGAAAACACCCCUUCUAAAGUUUUUCUUCAUUGAAUACUGUCCCGCAGCUCCAGGGUACCAUAUAGAGUUUUCUUGUAUUUUAGAGUUACUGUUUUAUCAAAGUUUACCAGUCUUUUGUAUUACAUUUCUCCUGUCUAAAUCAACUGUGUGGUUUCUACUCAUUAUGGAUAUAGAUUGAUACAAACUCAAUAAAUAUUUUUGAAUGAAUAA